ACCCGCGGUCACCACCCGCGGCCGCGGGGCGGGACCGCGGGUCCCCUGAGCAUCCCCCACGUUUGAAGGCCGCGGACGCGGGCCGUGACCGCGGGAAAAGGGCGGGGCUUCCCCCAAGUGGGCCCCAGACGCGAUUUUAGCCCCAAAACUCCAUUUUUUCCCUUCUUUUCUAACAUCAUUCACCACACACACCCACUUCAUCUUCCCCAACACUCCAUUUCAAAACCCUAGCCUCCAUUCUCUACCAUUUUUCCUCUCUUCCACACACAAGAACAACACCAAAAUCAAAGAAAGAAGGGGAAGACUUGGAAAGGAGCUCAUCAAGACUACAUGAUUGAAGAUCAAGAUUAUAGGAUUUGUCUAUGAAUCUCUAUCUCUCUAUAUCUUUAUUUAUGUUUUCUUAUGACUUGAGAUUUGCUUUUAUUAUGAAUAUGCUUGGCUAAAAUCUCUUAUCUUAGGGAUUAGAUUAGAUGGAUUUGUAAUGGAUUGAUUUCUUUGUUCUAUAUAUAUCUUGAUUGUGC
rnacentral:lncRNA from 1 species